AGCUAUGAGCCAAGAAGAUGGAAAUAUUUGUAUAACUCCUUGGAGAAAGUGGGGUACAGAGUGCUUUUUCUUUUUCCUUCUUUCUUUUUUCUUUUUCCUUUUAAUAAGACUUGGUUGAAUCUUUAUGUCUCUGGAUCCUAUGAAACUCAAAAGGGUACUAGGUAUGCUGAAUGCUCUAAAUUCCAUCGAGUUUCUUGUUCUAUCUCUCCUGUCAUCCCACAGUUGUUAUUAAGGCCUGGGAUCCUGCAGUCACAUUUCAUGUUGGUGAGUCCAUAGAAGGGAAAUUCCUAGGGUCAACUCUUCUCACCAUCUGACUGAUAACAUGUUUGGGUUCUGAGAAGGCUAACUUUUGAGGAUGUUGGAAGAUGAUGAAGAUGAUCUCAUAGUCCCAUACUGUUCACAAGGAGGAACAAAAUCAUCCCAGAAGGAUGCAGAGCCUGGAUAUCGAGGAGAAAGAGGCGGAUCCUGUGGAGGGUUGGUCCAGAGCACGAAAUUGAAUGUGCGAUUUUUACCAUAGUCACACAGAAUUCUGCGUCUCUUCUGGACUGUGAAGGAGACCUUCUAGAAAGUUGUGUCUGCUGAGACUGAUUGACUGAUUAGCAUUUCAAUGCCAUGGAGAGAUUUGAAUGUUACAGGUCCAGAGGCUAAUUACCUUAUCUUCGGUUAACUUUACCUGCACACCUCAACAGCUAUUCCUUGUGUGCCUCUGCGUCAGAACCAGCAUCCUGUGACUAAUAGAUAAAAGCCUUUGGAAACUAUUAAUUUAACAGACCUUCUACCAAGCCCAAAGAUAACAGUGUUAACAGAUAACAUCUUUGGUCUAUAAAAUAAGUUUCCUCAACCUUGCUGUAACCACCUCUCAGAUAUGCCCACCAAUGUAUUUUAAGCCUGUCCUGAUUUAUGACUUUCAACUUUCUGUAAAACUAUAAAACUUCAUGGAACUGCUUCUAGUUCAAACAUGGACUUUGAGGUAUCUUAAUCUGUGUUUCUGGUCAUUCAGAAUGGAUCCAGAAUGAACUAGCUUUUAUUCUUCUUAAGAAGGAAAAUUGUUUUUUGAGUUGACACAAUCAAAG
ensembl:lncRNA